CUUUAACUCACCAGACGCCUCAGCUGAUAGGAGAUACAAAGACAACGAGCACGCCACACCUUCUACCUGUCGCUUCAACACCAACACCAACACCAACGUUUGCUCUCCCCUCUGGGUCUUGGCCUUUGUGGGAGACAUCGACGCCGGUUUCCUCAGUACCUCUGGAUCUACUAUCCGGACCGUUCCCUGCUGAAGACUCGACGUCGGCAUCUGGGCUAUCCGCACCUCCACAGCCACCGUCGCCGAC